UACAGAGGGUGCGAGCGUUAAUCGGAAUUAUUGGGCGUAAAGCGCACGUAGGUGGGCAUAUAAGUUAAGUGUAAAAUACCUGGGCUUAACCUGGGUGGGUCAUUUAAGACUGUAGGUCUAGAGUAUAGGAGAGGGGGAUAGAAUUUCCGGUGUAGCGGUGAAAUGCGUAGAUAUCGGAAGGAAUACCCGUGGCGAAGGCGAUCCUCUGGCCUAAUACUGACACUGAGGUGCGAAAGCGUGGGGAGCAAACAGG
rnacentral:rRNA from 1 species